rnacentral:rRNA from 1 species
UACGUAGGGGGCAAGCGUUGUCCGGAUUUAUUGGGCGUAAAGAGCGUGUAGGCGGCCAGGUAGGUCUGCUGUGAAAACUCGAGGCUUAACCUCGAGAUGUCAUCGGAAACCAUUUGGCUAGAGUCCGGAAGAGGAAAGUGGAAUUCCUGGUGUAGCGGUGAAAUGCGCAGAUAUCAGGAAGAACACCAAGGGCGAAAGCAGCUUUCUGGGACGGUACUGACGCUGAGACGCGAAAGCGUGGGGAGCGAACAGG